UUUCAGUUAAUUAAAAGGACAAUUAAGCCUGUAUCAUAAAAAUGGAUUCAAACAUAUGUUCAUCUACAUAUUUUAAUUAAAAGUAUAUAAAUGAGUAUUUACUAUCCAGUCUUUUGAUGCAAGGACAAGAGGUUCUCUUUAAUUUUGUCCCUGUGUAUGUUCAUACACCUGCCUGAAACUUUCCAUAAGAAAGAAUGUUUAUUUUAAAAUUUCAGAAAACCAGUUACAUAAAGAAUAAAGAAUAAAAAGAGCUCUCCUUUUAGAAUCAUUUUAGUAGGACAACCGUAUUAAUAUUUAUCUACAUCUGCCAGUGGACAUGGAGGCCCCUGCCAUUUCCUUAAGUUAAUAAACUUAAGAUUAUAUAAUGAAAACAUGUUAUAAACCAUAAUCUGUAUGAAUUUUAAUCAGUGAUGGAGAAAAGUGAAAUCUGCAAGGAGAGGGUUGGAACUGAAAAGCCUUAGUGCGGUAAUGUAGGCUCUUAUUCAUGUCUCUUAUCCACUGAAUCUCAUAGCUGUAUUCAGGAUGAAAACAGUAUGGUCAAAGCUUCGAAACUACAAAGAAGCCCCUGAGACUAGAAAAGAAAAAAAAUACUCUAUAAGAUGGAGAAAAGAGUAUAACAAAGAUGACACAGAUACAUUGUAUGCAAAAGGGUGUGGUGGAAACAGACAGACAGAUGACAUCUCCAAGAUAGGGAACUCAACCACAUGAACUGUAUACAAAAUCUCCACAUAUAUGGAAAAUCUCAUAUUGAAACAAAAAUAAAACAUUUAAAACAUUUGUCUGCCACCAUGUAUCAUGGAAUGGCCAGUCAAAAGGUACAUAGAUUAUUUCUUGGCUCCUUAAAAAUCUAGCAUUUCUAUCAGAAAAUCGUUCAACAACCUCAGGACAUCUUGACAUUGCCCUUCUCGAUCAUGCUCAGUGUUUUGCAGUUGGUGCAUAUUUUAAGGGAUAGCUUCUGGGGAGAGCCCUGUGGACCAAGUCAAAAAUUCAGGAUCAUGACUGGUUUCUUUAAUAUUGGGAUGCUCUACAAUCAUUCCGUAUUUCUGUCUGAUUUCAGUUUUUAAAAACUAAAAAUCCACUUAUCAGUGAGUACAUAUUGACUCUAGCUACAUAUGUAUCAAAAGAUGGCCUAGUCGGCCAUCACUGGAAAGAGAGGCCCAUCAGACACACAAACUUUAUAUGCCCCAGUACAGGGGAACGCCAGGGCCAAAAAAAUGAGAAUGGGUGGGUAGGGAAGUGGGGGGGAGGGUAUGGGGGACUUUUGGAAUAGCAUUGGAAAUGUCAUUGAGGAAAAUACGUAAAAAAAAAAAAAAAAAAAGAACUCUGU
rnacentral:lncRNA from 1 species